rnacentral:rRNA from 1 species
GAUGAACGCUGGCGGCGUGCCUAACACAUGCAAGUCGAGCGGACCAAUGUUCAUUUCAGCUUUGCUGAUUUGAGCAACGGUUAGCGGCGGACGGGUGAGUAACGCGUGGGCAACCUGCCCUGUGCAGGGGGAUAACACAGCGAAAGCUGUGCUAAUACCCCAUAAGACUACGCUAUCGCAUGAUAGAGUAGUCAAAGCUUUAGCGGCACAGGAUGGGCCCGCGUCUGAUUAGCUAGUUGGUGGGGUAACGGCCUACCAAGGCGACGAUCAGUAGCCGACCUGAGAGGGUGAUCGGCCACACUGGAACUGAGACACGGUCCAGACUCCUACGGGAGGCAGCAGUGGGGAAUAUUGCACAAUGGGGGAAACCCUGAUGCAGCAACGCCGCGUGAGCGAAGAAGGCCUUCGGGUCGUAAAGCUCUGUCCUAAGGGAAGAAGUAUGACGGUACCUUAGGAGGAAGCCCCGGCUAACUACGUGCCAGCAGCCGCGGUAAUACGUAGGGGGCGAGCGUUAUCCGGAAUCACUGGGCGUAAAGGGUGCGUAGGCGGCCGAGUAAGCCAGAGGUGAAAGGCUACGGCUUAACCGUAGUAAGCCUUUGGAACUACUUGGCUUGAGUGCAGGAGAGGAGAGUGGAAUUCCUAGUGUAGCGGUGAAAUGCGUAGAUAUUAGGAGGAACACCAGUGGCGAAGCGACUCUCUGGACUGUAACUGACGCUGAGGCACGAAAGCGUGGGGGAGCAAACAGGAUUAGAUACCCUGGUAGUCCACGCCGUAAACGAUGAGUGCUAGGUGUCGGGGGUUCACACCCUCGGUGCCGGAGUUAACGCAAUAAGCACUCCGCCUGGGGAGUA